AGACAUGGCACAAACACAUGAGUCAUGGAAAAAAUUCUUUGUGUGGGAAGCAGGAAAAACAAAUGGGGCCCAACUUCCAGUUGUUCAAAUGCUCAAAAGUAUUGGACAAACAGACGUGACCUCUGCAACGGAAUGUGACUACCUUCUAGUCUUCUGUCCUGUUGUUUCACGAGUUGGAACGGACAUCGGCGAGGCCCUGCACAACAUAACUCCUGGCAAACCAGUAAUACUGGUAGUGAUGCAUCACACCUUCAAUCCUCACCAUGUUGUAGCUGAAAGCCGGAGGCAGGUGGACAACCCAAAUGUCCACCUAACUGUGGACUGUCUGUUUCAUGAAGGCCGUCUCCUCAAUUGCAACCUCAAUGAUACCAUGUCGAGUGACAUCAAAAGAUUUUUUGGUUCUGAAUCCCCAGCUCCAGCCUUAAUUCACAACUUGAUGUCUUUGUGGCAACGCAUCCCAAGUUUCUUUUUAGGUUUCUUCAUCUGGAAAAUAUUUGGACUUUGUUGCUCCAGUAUUUGGAAUUUAUUCGUGUGUUUAGGUAGCCCCAUCUGGAAAAAAAUCAGACCUUGUAAGUAUUACUGUAUUAGUUUUAGCUUUGUUGGUGGUGGAUCCUUAAACAUAUAAUAACAUGUUUUGUAGAAAUCACUCAGCCUGUUUACAAUGUAAUCAGAAUGUGGUGAUGAGCAAACACAAAUGUCACUCUACUCAGAACUAGUCUUACAGGUCACUUGAGUCAGUUACACACACUUGUAAAAGUACUUAGUACUUUCAGUAUUCGGAAACCAGCUACUGCAGACAUAUGGUCGCUCUACAUGUCUCUCACAGAAUGUGUCUCUCUAGCAUAAGUAUGGUCCACUGUGGCUUAUUGCUCUUUUUGUCUUUAUUUUUCUUAAUUUUAGGCUUGAAUCCUCUGGUACAUAUGGCUGGAUUGAUUGUUUCUUUGCUGAUGGCAGUUGUGACAUCAUUCAGCUCCAAAAUAUGGAAGAGAAAUAAAAGCGGGAAAUGAGGACUGCAAAACAAAAUCCAAAUGCAAUAAUUUAACAAUAUCACAGUAUGUUUUCUUGAUACUGUAUCUAAAACAAAAUAUAAGUAAUAUAUCCUGCCUUUGUAAUCAUUAAAGAUGUGUUAGUUAUGUGUUAUUGUUAUGAAAGCUGGUAUAGAUGUUUUAGGGAUGAAUCUUUUGAUCAUUGGUACUGUAGCAUGUUAAAGAUGAAAUGUUGCUUUACUCACAUGUCCAAGGCAAGACUGAAAAGUGAGCUUUAAGAAAACAGAACCAUUUCUUUCCCAGUUAUUGCAGACAUGCUUAUAUAUUUUAAAAUAAUGAAUUUAUUGAGAGGAUAUCUUGGUGUCAUUUGUUGCUUUUGUUCAUUCUGAAUUCAAAGACAUUCUUUAUUAAGUGACAUUAAAAACUGUUUCUGAUUUAGGGUUAGACGUUUGUUAUGAUUUAAUGUUGUCAGUGUUUUGUUUUAUGUCAUGUUUAAGGAUUUGUUCUUGGUUGUAUCGCACGUUUAGUUCAGGUUCCAUGUAUCAUUCUGUCUCUCAGUGUCAGGUCUGCGUUUUGGUGUAGUGUUUUCGUUUCCUGUUUUAUUGUGAAGGUCUGCGUCUCAUGUGAGUGUGUUCAGUUUUACCUCUGUCUCGUCUUGUUGAUUAUUCCCAGCUGUGUUCCCCACCUGUGUGUAAUCUCCCUGUGUUUCCCUGUGUGCAUUUAAGUCGCGUCCUCUGUCUUUGUAGUUUGGCUGGUCCGUCUGUGUAUCCACCAUGUCUCAUCCGUAUGUUUCCCUGCUGCCCAACCGUCAUCUGUUUUCUGCUGGCUGUUAUUCGUGUUCAGGUUUGUGUUUCUGUUCAGGGUCAGUAGUUUAGUUUUCCCAGUAUAGUUUAGUUCUCCGUUUACCAUUUUGUCCAUCUCUUUUGUUGUGCUUGCCUUAGCGGCACCAGCCAUUUUUAGCCAACCUGAUUGUCCAUUUUAAUAUAAAACCUCUUCUCACCCACAAUCUGGUAUUCAUCUUCUUUUAUGUUGCGGCUAUGAGCCGGGUCGUAACACGUUACAGCUGUAACAAAUUGCGAAAUUGCAUUUUCGCUUAAAAUCUUGAAUUAAAAUGUACACACAAUGAGAAUGUUAAGCGUGGAACACAAUAAAACCAGAGACUGCCCCGCCCCUGACCCCCUUUUUUUUUUUUAAUAAAUAUUGAGAAAUGAACUUAAAAGAGCAUAUUAGUGUGUGGUUCAACUUUAUGCAAUUUAACUUUCUGAAAAGAAAGAAAACAAGAGCCAUAUUGAGAAAUCUCUGCUGAUAAUGAUCCACACCCUUUUUCACACCUUGGCUCAUGUGAUGAGGCACAUGGUCAACAGUGGGUCAACGUCCCUCUUAAGAGACAACUCCAACUAGGGCUUAAUACCUGGGACUCUCCAGCAUUUGGUCUUAGAACUGAAGAAGCUUCUCAGAUGAGAGUUGAAGCAUCUUCAAGAAACUUGAAGUCCAGCAUGAAACACAUGCAGACAGACGCACACAUCGCAUACAAAAUUGUAACUCUCACCCUGUGUCCCUGAUGUGCAAUUGCACCAAGUGCAAUUUUCCCUAUGUAACAAAGUAUUUUAUUCUAUUUGUAUUGUAUAUAGUAUUAUUUCUAUUUUGUAUAGUAUGUUAUUCUGUUUAUCUUAUUCUAUUCUAUAGUUUUUUCUCUUUUUCUCUUAUUUUUGUUACUGCUCUUGUACUUCCUGCCGUGACCAAAAAUGUCCCACGUGUGGGACUAAUAAAGAUUUAUCUUAUCUUAAAGUCCAGGUGCUUUCCUUUUAAGCUCCUUAGAUUAAUUUUGAUGCUAUGCGUUGACAUGUGUCAGCUUGAAGUAGAUAGGAAAGGUAAUAGAUAAUUCAUUAAUAGACAAAGAACAUAAUAACUGCCGACCGUACCUGCUAUAUUCAUUUCAGUCUGUUGAAUGUUCAACAAAAGCCUCAUAGUCAUUCAUAGUUGCCUUAUAUAAAAAUGGUUUAUAUAGUUGUUUCAC
rnacentral:lncRNA from 1 species